GACAGAGGUGCCAAGCGUUAGGCGGAAUCACUGGGCUUAAAGCGUGUGUAGGCGGAAUGGUAAGUACCUUGUGAAAUCCCACGGCUCAACCGUGGAACUGCUUGGUAUACUGCUUUUCUUGAGCCACUUAGGGGCAACCGGAACAAACGGUGGAGCGGUGAAAUGCGUAGAUAUCGUUUGGAACGCCAACGGUGAAAACAGGUUGCUGGGAGUGUGCUGACGCUGAGACACGAAAGCCAGGGGAGCAAACGGG
rnacentral:rRNA from 1 species